AUUGAACGCUAGCGGGAUGCCUUACACAUGCAAGUCGAACGGAGUGGAGAACGGGUGAGUAAUGAAUCGGAACGUGCCCAGUAGCGGGCGAUAACUACGCGAAAGCGUAGCUAAUACCGCAUACUAUUGGAGCGGCCGAUGUCGGAGUAGCGAGUUGGUGGGGUAAAGGCUCACCAAGGCGACGAUCCGUAGCUGGUUUGAGAGGACGACCAGCCACACGGGGACUGAGACACGGCCCAGACUCCUACGGGAGGCAGCAGUGGGGAAUCUUGGACAAUGGUGGAAACCCUGAUCCAGCCAUCCCGCGUGUGCGAUGAAGGCCUUCGGGUUGUAAAGCACUUUUGUCAGGAAAGCGGUACCUGCAGAAUAAGCACCGGCUAACUCCGUGCCAGCAGCCGCGGUAAUUC
rnacentral:rRNA from 1 species